GGGAUCAGUCGUAUUCUGAUGCACCUAAUAAAGAAGAAUAAUUAUUAUUUGAAAUAACUUAAUAAUUGUUUAAUUGGCGCCCAACUUAGCAGUAAAAGUGAUUUGAAACCGGAUCAAAAGAUCCCGCGACGGAAAAGUGCAAACAAAUUUAUUAAAACGUACUAAUAAAACGAAACAGUUAUAUAAGGCGUGCAAUAAUAUAAUUAAAUUCGAAAGUAUUUAAUAAAAAAAAAUUAUUUAACAAGAACUCCAAUCAAAUUAACUGUGAAAUCAUUUUAUAUAAAACAUAUAAAACAAAACAACAACAACGAAAAACAAACAUAAAAAAAACCUAGUGCAACUGCACUCAGCGAGUGAAAAACAAAACCACGGCAAAACCGGCACUAGUCGGCAAGUUAUCAAGUUAUAUUAUAUCAAGUUAUAGUGCUUAUUACCGUUAACUAACGGUGCGAAGAUGAUGAGCUAAGCAACGAACGAAUAUUUAGCACGCAGAAAGCCAAUUCUUAUACGGUUUGCCGUUUGCAUUUUCUUUCUACUGAUAAGAAUGCACGCAGACAACUAAUUUUUGUUCGGCACAAGUAUUCGGACAAACUCAUUUAGUAAAUGGCAUACUGCUUUUGAGCACGUAAUAAUCGACAAUUGUUUAAAUUAAACAUUAACAUUAAACAUUUUCAUAUUGAACUGUAAUAAAAAACAAAAAAUAAAACCCCAGUGCAGCUGCACUGAGUGAGUCAAAAACAAAAUAAACGAAACAUAUUAAACUAAAAAUACAAAACCAGCCAAAGAAGAACACAGGAGCGGAUCAACACACAACUGCACUAAAUAAAAAACCAGCCAAAGAAGAACACAGGAGCGGAUCAACACACAACGACACUAUACAGCUGCACUAGAAUAACAACGAAAAAUAAACCAGCACCAUCCGUCGUGACUCAAGUCAACGUCACGAGCUACAAAAAUUACCUCAGCCUGCUCUACCUCCAUGAGCUGAGCUUGAAGGUAGCCUAAAAGCCAAGUCAGUAUUGUCGAGACCGAUCGUAAGCAGUGUCAUCACUUUCACCAUCUCACUCGCCUGUUUCGGCAUUGUUUACACCGCCUGUCGCUGGCUUGAACGACAACGCCUAAUCGAACCAGAGACAGCUCUGCAGAGACCCGAGGACGGCCCUCACUUAACUAAGGGAGGAGUUAUCAUAAGCAAGGUCAAUGAUACUGAGCUGAAUGCUAAAUGUCAACACUUCUCAAUCCAAAACAUUAACAACAUAUUCAAAACCACACAAAUCACGUCAAAUGAAAAAACAGCGAAUGAAGCUAAUAAAAUGCCAUCGACAACGACAACACAUGGUACAAAACCCACACAACAACUCAGUAGAAUCGACCAAAUUAUGCAGUAAGCAUAGAUCAAAUCCUGGAAGAAUCCGAAGAAGAAACCACCUUCUUAUUUAAGGCCUGGCAUUGAAACCCUUAAACUAAAUUAAACAUUUUGUAUAAGUAUAGUUGUGCAUAGCAGAAGGCCACGUAUCUAAUACUAUUUACGUUUAUGUUAGU